CCUACGGGUGGCAGCAGUGAGGAAUAUUGGUCAAUGGACGCAAGUCUGAACCAGCCAUGCCGCGUGCAGGAAGACGGCUCUAUGAGUUGUAAACUGCUUUUGUACGAGGGUAAACGCAGAUACGCGUAUCUGUCUGAAAGUAUCGUACGAAUAAGGAUCGGCUAACUCCGUGCCAGCAGCCGCGGCAAUACGGAGGAUUCAAGCGUUAUCCGGAUUUAUUGGGGUUAAAGGGUGCGUAGGCGGUCGGAUAAGUUAGAGGUGAAAUCCCGAGGCUCAACUUCGGAAUUGCCUCUGAUACUGUUCGGCUAGAGAGUAGUUGCGGUAGGCGGAAUGUAUGGUGUAGCGGUGAAAUGCUUAGAGAUCAUACAGAACACCGAUUGCGAAGGCAGCUUACCAAGCUACUUCUGACGUUGAGGCACGAAAGCGUGGGGAGCGAACAGGAUUAGAUACCCGUGUAGUC
rnacentral:rRNA from 1 species